rnacentral:misc_RNA from 1 species
UUUUGGCUAAUGGAGGCCUUCCUUGCAUUUGAGCUUGGUUGGUGGCUAUUAGUUGGGUGGUUUCGGGGAUGUCUACCGUAAAGGUGCAUGAGUGGUGUUUGGUUUGUUACGGGUGGUUGGCUCUUUGCUUGCGCAACAACUUCCACCUGGCAUACCUCUUCAGUUUUGUGUCAAUGCUUGUAUCGCACUGAAUGCAUGGUGGGUUUCUUGUGUUGCAUGCCUAAUUGAUGGUAUCGUUUGACGAAUUGAUGUCUAUUUUCGUCUUGUGUUGCACAUGCGAUGCGAGAUGAACCUUAAAGUAGCCUUUGUGAUCCACUCUUUUGAUGCACAUGCAUCGAUUUUGUGGCUCAUUGAGUGUUUGCUUGGUCUCAUGGAUAUGGAACCUUGUGUGGGCAUGUGAUCUUUUAGUAGCUCCUUGUUUGCCCUAGUUAAGCUUUUCAAAUACGAUUUCCUAUCAUGUUCUAACGUGGUAGGCUAUAUCGAAUAUGAAUG